rnacentral:lncRNA from 1 species
AAGGACUGAGUAGGAGUAAACUAAAAGAGAAAAAGCAGGACAAAAGAAGCACCACUUUGGAAGCUCAAAGCCGCACUGGAAACACAGUCUUUCAGGAUGUCUGAAAGGGGCAAGUCUGUUUGUGUGGGAUAUACAGGGAGUCCACGGAGCCUCCCCUGCAAGCAUCAGUACAGAAGUCGAUGAUAAUCUGGAUGCAAGCCCAGGAGUGUGGAGUCCACUGACUCAGAAGACCUGCAUCUAAGGAAUUGGCUGUUCUUAUCCUUAAGAAUGAUGACUGUGUUUCCAAUUCCAGUAGACCCUUUGAUGCGUUCUGAAUAAAUAUUCCUUUUGGAAUUGAACUUCUAGAGCCCUUAACUUUGGCCCACUCUAGUUUUCUGUCUGUUUUUUUUUUUUUUAAUAUUUUUUUUUUGUAAAGAUAAGGUCUUGCUUUGUUGCCCAGGCUGGUCUUGAAUUCCUGGACUCAAGCAAUCCACCUGCCUUGGCCUCCCAAAGUGCUGGGAUUAUAGGUGUGAACCAUUGUGUCCGAUCGCUCUCUGGUUUUUCUAAUAUCAUGAUCCCAACUCUGUUCUUUAUGUAAAUUUCCCUGAUCACAUGGUUGUAUCUUGGCAUUUCAAAAUCCUUGACAGACUUUGUUUUGUUUGAAUUUUACAAUGAACUUACAUGACUAGGCACGGUCCCCAGUUCAGUUUUAUAGACAAGGAUUCUGUAGGUCAAGAAGUGAAACACAACCAAUAACAGCAGGUGACAGGAUUUAAACCUGGGUCACUUUACUUAUUUUUUUCUACUCUAUCAUUAUGUGAAUCUAUCCUACCUCUGCAAUGACAGAUGGCCCUAGAGCAAGAACACUUCCUUACAUCUGGUAUACAGUCAAAAAGUAAAAAUUCCACACAAAUAAAUAUGGAAAGAAUUUUUACCUGCUCCUAUAGCUUCCUUUCAGGGACCUGGCACCCACAAAUGUUGGGUAACAGAAAGAGGACUUAUGUAACUUAACUCAAAGCAGAAAAGUUACAGAGACUGUCUUAGCAUAAUAGAGCAUGGAGUGGUCAUGCUUGGAUGUGCAAACUGUCUGAUAGUCUUGCACAUGGCUUGACCCCGAAUUACACUAGUGGGGCAAGUUGCCUGGGGCAAAGCAAACUUAUUGGACCCAAAGCUCUCAUUUGAGAAUUUUGUUGACUAAAAGUUAUAAAAUAUCAGCAAUUUCA